rnacentral:lncRNA from 1 species
AUAACCUUGAUAAAUUUGCACAAAUAUGAGGCCCAAAUGAUGAAGCAACCGUUUAUGAAGAGAAGAAGACUCAUCCAAGAAGACCUGGGUUCUCUUUGUUCUUCCAUUAGAUGUCAACAAUGGGAAUAACUUGGUGAAGGACAUACAAGAACUGUACCAUGCUGAUAGCCUUUAUAUAUUUUUGAAGAUAUUAGGCAUUGUGCUACAGGCUGGAAAGUGAAUCCUAGACAGAACACCUCGCAAGUAGACAACUAAUCUUAAGUCAAUAUAUUUUUUUUGUGGGAUUUUCAUAUAUCUUCUUUUUUUGCCAAUAAUACUGUGGACCUUUGAGAAAAGAAGAUAAAUAAUAAUAAAAGAAGAGACUCAGAUCAAAAGAAGCUAAACAUUUCUCACGAUUGGAAAAUAAUAUACUGUGAACGUUCGAAGACAAAAGUCCUGAUUCUCCCUCAAUCUGGAUCUACAUUGAAUACAAGAGAGCUGAGAGGGAUGGCAGAAGGUGUCCUGAGGAACAGCAAUGAAAAGACUAUUUUGAAUCCGUAUCUGAGUAUAAAAGAACAUGAAAGAUAAUGGGUUAACAAAACAAUCCAUCUGUCUUUCUAAGUAUUUAUGUAUGUAAAGAGAUACGGAGUAUUUAAUAUAAACAUACUCUAGA